CCUACGGGAGGCAGCAGUGGGGAAUCUUGGACAAUGGGCGAAAGCCUGAUCCAGCGACGCCGCGUGGGUGAUGAAGGCCCUCGGGUUGUAAAGCCCUGUUGAGAGGGAAGAAAACAGGCCGUUCAAAUAGGGCGGUCUCUUGACGGUACCUCUUUAGAAAGCACCGGCUAACUCGGUGCCAGCAGCCGCGGU
rnacentral:rRNA from 1 species